CUGCACAGAAUCAUUAAAUCAUGUCAUGACUGCUGAAUGACUCAGAAAUAAACGACCGAUGAUUUGAAUGCGACUUUUAAUGAGAUGUUUUAGAGAGAAAGAAAAAAAAAACUCCAGUGGAAAAACCCGUCAGGAAGUUACUGUUACACGAUAGGCUGCAGCAGCAGCAGCAGCAGCUCAGCCCACUUCUGUGCUCAGACUUUCACACGGACUUUUUCAACUGUUCGGUUCGGUUCGGUUCGGCUCCCCGCGCAACAGCCGAGGAGAAAGCGAACAUAGAAACAUCUGCUGAUCGCUGGUGACCAAGCAUGGCCAUCAUGGUGGCUGCUGCGAUACUCAAGCUCUACGCCAUUGGAACUGCACUUUCCUUAUUGGCAUUUAUUUAUGGGAUUGCUGACUCCUUCGGGGGACUCAUGUACGCUCAGAACCACCACUACAUCCACGGACUGGACCAGCAGACACAGAGGCAGAUGCCCCCCGGGGCCCACAUGCAAAGAGCAUCUGUGACUAGAAACAUUGGCUGACGAGGAACUUUGUGAUGUUGGAUCUUUGCUUCGCUUCAAAGAGACUUGGACUGUACAUAUUUUUCUUCCCUGGGGAUGUUUUGUCUGUUUCUUUGUCUACUGUUAAAAAAACCAAAAAAUGUCGUGCAGCUAUUUUUCAGAGCAACUAGAAAGCUGCAACAGAUGUAGGAGCACUACUGAACAAUUUGCACUAAAACCAGAAUGUUUUUGUAGCCAUUUCUGAAAUAAAAUACCUUCUUUUGAAUCAUUUAACAA